rnacentral:tRNA from 1 species
GAGGGGAGGUUAAACCAACAGGAACUGCUAACUCCUGCAUCUGAGUAUAAAACCUCAGCCCCCUU